GCCAGAGUGGCACAGAGGUUUGAGCAUUGCACUAUGAUUCUGGAGACCAGGGUUCGAUUCCUGCUCAGCCA